AAUGAACGCUGGCGGCGCGCCUAAUACAUGCAAGUCGAGCGAGAAGACGUAGCAAUACGUUUGUAAAGCGGCGAACGGGUGAGGAAUACAUGGGUAACCUACCCUCGAGUGGGGAAUAACUAGCCGAAAGGUUAGCUAAUACCGCGUACGCUUCUUGGACUUCGGUUCAGGGAGGAAAGCGAUGCCGAGGGUAUCGCGCUCUUGGAUGGGCUCAUGUCCUAUCAGCUUGUGGUGAGGUAACGGCUCACCAAGGCUUCGACGGGUAGCUGGUCUGAGAGGACGAUCAGCCACACUGGCACUGCGACACGGGCCAGACUCCUACGGGAGCAGCAGUAAGGAAUAUUGCGCAAUGGGCGAAAGCCUGACGCAGCGACGCCGCGUGGGGGAU
rnacentral:rRNA from 1 species